ensembl:lncRNA
GAACAGGUGUGAUUGAAGAGUUGAGAACUAGCAUGGAGUGCUGUCAUGGAAAUCAGCAGAGAGUAUUGUCAGGAAAGUUGACGGGAAAUGCUGCAGACAGAUCCAAUGACACAGAGCCUGGAGAGAAUCUUUUCAACCUAGCAGCAAGAAGAACGAGAUGGUUGGAUGACAUCACCAACUCAAUGGACAGGAGUUUGAGCAAACUCUGGGAGAUGGUGAAGAACAGGGAAGCCUCGCAUGCUGCAGUCCAUGUUGUCACAAAGAGUUGGACACAACUGAGCAACUCAACAACAACAACAACAAAUUUUCCCCCAUGUCAUUUUCUUUAUCCUGUCCAUGCAUUUUCUGCUCCAGGAAAAACAAAAUACUUUCAGUUCUUUCAACAAGUCAUGUCUUCUCACCUAUAGGCCUUUUAUAUGCUUAUUCUUUUAUUUUUUUCUCUCUCCCGUAAACUCUUGUCCUGUUUAAUUCUGUUCAACCUUCACCCACCCCCCAACACUACCUCCAUAGUGGUGCUUUUUCCUUGAAGAUGUCACUUUCU